ACGUUGGCGAGUUUGAUCCUGGCUCAGGAUAAACGCUGGCGGCGCGCUUAAUGCAUGCAAGUCGAACGGUCCCGAGUUCGCUCGGGAUAGUGGCGAACGGGUGAGUAACGCGUGGGCGACCUGCCCUCCAGUGGGGAAUAACUCCGCGAAAGUGGGGCUAAUACCGCAUGACAUGGCCAGCUUGAAUGCUGGCCAUCAAAGCCUUCGGGCGCUGGAGGAGGGGCCUGCGUUCUAUCAGCUUGUUGGUAGGGUAAUGGCCUAC
rnacentral:rRNA from 1 species